rnacentral:lncRNA from 1 species
GUGCUGAGGAAGGUGGGCACGAAGGCGCCGUCGCCCAUCUUGGAGCUCUCCAGGAGGUGCUGCGUCAGGCGCGGCAGUGGGGCGGCGCGCAGCAGACGGCCGUGGGGCGCCCCAUAGCGCUGUGGGGCGGCCGAGAAGAGCGCGUCGGCUUCGCGGAGCUCCGUCUGUUAUGGGGUGGGGGUCACAUCGUGGGGUCACCUCAUGGGGGCGUCCCAAUGGCUCAUCCAUCUUUGGGGUCAUCUCUUGGGGUCAACCCGUGAGGUCACCUCAUAGGGUCAUCUCUUGGGGUCAUGCCAUGAGGUCACCCCAUAGGGUCACCCCAAUGGGUCAUCUCUUGGGGUCAACCCGUGAGGUCACCCCAUAGGGUCAUCUCUUGGGGUCAACCCAUGAGGUCACCCCAUAGGGUCAUCCCAGUGGGUCAUCUCUUGGGGUCAUCCCACGGGGUCUUCUUGUGACCUCAUAGGGUUAUCCCAUGGGAUCAACUCAGGGUGAAACUAUAGGGCCAUCCUUUGGGGGUCACCCCAAAGGUUAUCCUACGGGGUCAUCUCAUGGGAUCGCCUCGUGGGGUCACCCCACAGAGUCAUCCCAGCGGUGUCACCCCAUGGCAGUGGCACCCACUGCCCCUCACGUGUUCCCACUGACCCCCCAGAGCCCCCUGGCCCCACUCACUCACCUGCUGUGGGUCGGACUCGGGGGGAUUGGCCCUAUAGGAGCUCAGCACCACCCCUCCUCCCGGCCCGGGGGGGUCCGCGCCCCCUCCAGCAGCGCCCGCAGCGCCCGUGGGAACAUUGGGGGCCCCACAGCUCCGCCCCACGGCUCAGCCCCACGGCGACGUCAUCCUGGGGGGGGUCUGGGGAAGGGGGGGGGGUCAGCUGCCCCAUAGCGCCCCCAUUCUGCCCCAUAGCGCCCCUCAGCGCACCCAGCGCUCCCAGUUCCUGCUCCCAGUUCCCGCCCCAUCGCUCCCAGCGCUCCCAGUUCCCCCUCCCAGUGCCCCAAUCCCCCCCCAGCCCCCCC